CGGCCAUGCAGAUGGCGCCUCUGACGUGAGGCUCCAGCACCCGUUUAAGUCCUCAGUUUUACCGUAAGGACCCAGAUUCAUCUACAGGGCCAGAGUGUGACCUCAAGAGGGUGGUGUCAGCUCAAAGGCCACUCAGCUGCUCUCAGCUGUCUUUGCUGGAAUGGAAAGAGAUCUUGUUGUAAGAGGAGCGUUGGAUGAACCAGCCCCAACCCAGGGUCUAGAGUUUGAGGAGUGACAAGGGCAGAUCUCUAAGGAAGCGAAACUCCUCUGAGACCCGACAGGGAACCAGCUUCCUCGAGGAACCUGAGUGAAAGGUGUCUCUGAAGCCCUGAAAGGCCUCUCAGCUUGGCAUGGCCCCCCGCCCCGCCCCAGCUCGCUCUCUUGAUGCCCAUGUGUGUGACUUGACAGCAUUCCUGCCUUGCUGGCCCACUGCCCCACUCCAAGGAAGGACGCUCUCAAGGUCCAGGUCCCUGGCAGUGUCAGGGCAACAUCAGUGGAAUGAGAACCCUGCUGAGCACAUGGGGCAGCUGUUUCCGUGGGACCUGCUGUCCUGACCUGGGAGUGCCAUGCUGGGGACAUGCUGAGGACCACAGGUGAUUUGAUGUAGGAGGUGCAGGAGUGGCCUCCAGGGGCACAGCCCACCUCCACUGACCCCCUGGCUCCCUGAGGCAGAGACACGGGUGCAGAGCUGGCCUAUCACAUGCUCUUUCCUGGUACCCUGAGUUUUUGGGUGAAUGAAGAAAAGGAGGGAGGAGAGAGAGGGUGGUGACUCCUCCAGGGGACAUGCCCCAGGAUCUGAGCUUAGGGUGGAGCUGCUACGCCCUGGCCACCAUGGCUUCUGGUUUUCCAACCUGGUCUCCCCACCCUGUGAAGAGCCCACUAUCACACAUUGUCCUGGCGGCUGAGGACCUUGGCUGUACCUCAGCCCGUUUGUUGGCCAGUGAGAAUGUUUCUGGACACCCUACACUCCUUUUCUGGACAACCGUAGGAUGUGUGGACAGGAUGACUGUGGGCCCCAGGCCCCUUCUCCAUACAGAAAGAGGGCACACAGAGCCAGCUAUGGCGAGUCAUGCAGCAUGAGCCUAGAGUGUGUGAGCUCUGGGUUCCCACAAUACGGAGGCAGGACAGGGAUGCAGAUAAAAGGGGCCCAUGAACUAGCUUUUCCAGACCAGACCAAAUCUUUAAUUUUCUUAGUCCCGAUUUUCAACUUUAAAGUCAUGACUCUAGGAACUGGAGAGGUGGCUCAGUGGUUAAGAGCACUUGCUGUUCUCCCAGAGGACCAGGGUUCGAUUCCCAAAUGCCCACAUAAUGGCUCACAACUAUCUGUGAGUCCUGUUCUAGGGGACCUGACUCCCUCUUCUGAGCUCCUCCAGCAGCACACAUGCGUGUGGUGCACAGACGCACAUGCAGGCAAAAUACCAAUACACAUAUAAAAAUAAAAGAUAGAAAGCAUUUAAAAACCAGGACUGCUAUUUUGCUUCAUUUAAAUUUGAGAUAAGUUAAUAUAAAAUUCACUCUGUAAAAGAAGAAGUUAAUUGAAGUUAUUGACUUUUGUUUUUAAAGAUAGGAUCUCACUAUAUAGCUCUGGCUGUCCUGGACCUUACUAUGUAGACCAGGUUAGCCUCUAACUCGUAGCUAUCUGUCUGCCUUUUGAGUGCUGGGAUUAAAGGCAAGCAGCACCACGCUCAGCACUGAGUGGUCUUUAACAUUUGCAAGGUUUACAUUCAAUGUCGAUUUUCUAGUGGCAGAACACAUGUCACCAUGUGCCCAUAGGCACUGCUCACGCUCACCCAGGUGUCCUAUGGGAUCACUGACUUAUUUCCAGUUCCCAUGGACAUGGCUAUUUGAGACAUGUCAUAGACACAGAAGCAUGUGACCAUGUGCUGGCCUUUUUCACUUGGCGUGAGGUUCUCCAGAGUGUGACCCAGUCUUUCACCUCUUUUGCGUUAAGUGAAGGGCAUCUCUCUCUCUCUCUUCACCUCUUUUGCGUUAAGUGAAGGGCAUCUCUCUCUCUCUCUUCUCUCUCUCUCUCUCUCUCUCUCUCUCGUUUUAGUUUUAAGUGAGGAAUACAAGCAAACAUCCCGAGUGCCCCAUCCCCACCCUAACUGUCAUCAGCUUGGGAGUCAGGGGCCCUGAGCUCAGUGGAACAGAGUCAACCCCAGGCCCUUUGCACAGACCACUUGGAGAUCUGCAACUGGGAUAUGAGAGCCCGAGUUGGCUGUCACCACCAACGCCAUCCAGUGGGGUCCUGGGUGGAAUCUCUAAACUGAACUUCAU
rnacentral:lncRNA from 1 species